UAACAUUUUUAAAUAAUGCACAAACAUUAGAUAUUUAGGUUGGAUGUUUAAACCUUAAGGUCCCAUAGUGCUUGUGUUUUGGCUAAAAAAACUCGGUUUAAUUUAGUUCCUUAGGCCUAAUUUUUUGUGUUGGGUUGAUGAUUUUUUCAACUUGGUUUUUCGGGACCUUUUUGACGUAGAUCUUUUUAGUAACUCGUUCAGUAAUUAGAGAUUUUUUUACUAAUUCACAAGUAAAAAACUACUAUAUAUAAUUUUUAGUCAUCCCAAAUAAGAAAAAAAAAAAUUUUAUUUUACUUUUUUAUGUUUUAGGCAAGAAUAAAAAAUAUUACAUUUUUUAUUUAGACCAAACGGAACCUAAAGCAUCGAGAUAGUUUGACCAAACUCAUCCAUCGAGAAGCUUUAUGUAAACCUAAUUAAUAAUGAAAAAUAGGGCUGUUGGAGGGGGAAAAAAAUACUCCAACAUUAGAUUAUUCUUAGUCAUAAGGCACUCCUUUUUAUUUUUGGUAAAAGGAAAGCUUGAAUUAAUUAAUUCGAGGAUACAAAAGUCUUAAUAAGAGUCUGUUAAUAUUAAUUUCUUCACCUUUUUUUAAUAGAUUAAUUUUCUUUGCUACUAUGAGUUAUCGUCUUGGUACGGCGUUAUGAUACUAUCUUAUUAAGCUCGGUAUUGUCUUUUAGUGAUUUGAAUAUUUUCAUAUGCAAGAUUAUUGUUAAAAGAAAAUUAUAAAAGGGGAAAUUUCAAAUCAAAGGAAAAAUCAAGUAAUUUCUGAUGGACGUUCUAACACUUUGAAACUUGGGUACGUGUGAAAACAAAAUAAUAUCCUGAGCAUGGAGUCCCAAAUUUCAUUGAACGGAUUUAGGCUCCGUUUGGCAUUAGUUUUUUUUAGUUUUUUUUUUGAUUUUGUUACUUAAAAUAAAUAAAAAAGCCAAUAAUAGUUGAUUUUUUUGAUUUUCUGUUUUUGCUUUUUUGCUUAGUUUUAACUAAAAUAAAGUCACAAAAAAAAAAAAAAAAAAAUUUUGAUAUUUUUGAUAAUAAACUUAAAAAAACUUGAUUUUUAAAAUUACCAAACAGAGCCUUACUCCUAGAACAAAUGACAUCAUUUUUUAAAGCCAAAACACCCACGCAAGAUGACUUGCACUCACUGGUGCAAAUAUGUACGGUUAGAGUACAAGUGUGUAAAGGUGCAAGUCAAAUACGACAAGAGUGCAAGAUGACUUACAUUCAUUGUCUUCCCCAACACCUUUCGUAGUUUCCUAGUCCCUUUUCUCUUUGAACCUCCCAUGUCAUCCUUGUGAAUCCAUAGUUUUAGUACUGACAAACUCCACUUGAUGGAGUGCAGAAAGAAAAAAAAAUAGAAAAUCAUCUAGUUUGAAGUGCACAAUGCGCACAGGACUUGCAUACUCGGCUUACCUAACUUGCACCUCUUGACGUACCUAACUUGCACCCUAAAUAUAUGUAACUUGUACUUAGGUGUAACCAACUUGAACCACAUGCACCUUUGGUUAUCUGAUUUUCAACCUUGGCAUACCUGACUUGUCCCAGUGGGUGCAAGUCAUAUUGCAUGAGUGAUUUGGUCUUUCGAGAAAUGACAUAAUUCUUCUCGAAGGAUAAAUUUCUCAGGCAAAAUGUGGGACUUCGUGCUCUUGAUAUUAUUUUGUCCUCACCACCUACACCGAUAUUUUGAAGUGCCAACAGCUAAUUGAAAUUAUUUCUUGGUCUUCCCGUUGAUUUUAAAAAUUUCCAUUGUAAAAAGAUUAAUUAUAUCUAUUUGAGGACACAAUAUUAUACUAUGUUUAUGUACUUGAAUUAAUUUGUUGCAUUCCACCACUCAUCUUUCAUGGUAGAGAGAACUCAAUCUAAGACAAUCUAAAAAUAAUGUAUCUCGAAAGUAAAACCACUUACAGCUAUUUAUAUGCAAGUAACCGACCUAAGUGAAUUUAUAACAAAACCCUCGUCAUUAAGGACAAAAUAGUCUUUAUACAGUUUUCCUUCCUAUGAAACUCUACCGGUACAACCUUUUACACAGUAUCAGUACAAAUUUGAAUAGCUACCGGUCCAAAAUGCUUCUGCUUGCCUUGUACCGAUCCUAAAACAGGACAGUACCGAUACCUAGAUCAGUGUCGAUACUAAAUUAUAUAGCUACUGGUACUUCUGCAAUAUUUCUACAUAUCCUUCUCUCUUCUCUUUCAUUUUGUGACUUUUUAAUCAUUUUAUUAACUUGUGCAAGUGUUAAACUCUCCUCAAGACACGUGAAAGUCUUUGUUAACGUAAAUUAUCUUCAAUCAUCAAAACUGAUGAGGCAUACAAAUCUUCACCUUCUAAGGACCUGAGGUGUACACAUCGCCGAGGCAUCUACACGAGGUCAUGUCGCCAUAUCAUCGCCACUUAAUAAGCUCGGAUUUCUUGAAACACCAUCUAUGCCUUCCAUAAGCUCUCACAUUACCUAUGCCGAGCUAAUUAAUCUCGCCCACCACCUUGAGGCCGGAAUGAACUUGAGACCCC
rnacentral:lncRNA from 1 species